rnacentral:rRNA from 1 species
GGGUUGUGAGGUUAAGCGACUAAGCGUACACGGUGGAUGCCCUGGCAGUCAGAGGCGAUGAAGGACGUGCUAAUCUGCGAUAAGCGCCGGUAAGGUGAUAUGAACCGUUAUAACCGGCGAUUUCCGAAUGGGGAAACCCAGUGUGACUCGUCACACUAUCAUUAACUGAAUCCAUAGGUUAAUGAGGCGAACCGGGGGAACUGAAACAUCUAAGUACCCCGAGGAAAAGAAAUCAACCGAGAUUCCCCCAGUAGCGGCGAGCGAACGGGGAGGAGCCCAGAGCCUGAAUCAGCAUGUGUGUUAGUGGAAGCGUCUGGAAAGGCGCGCGAUACAGGGUGACAGCCCCGUACACAAAAGCGCAUGUGCUGUGAGCUCGAUGAGUAGGGCGGGACACGUGGUAUCCUGUCUGAAUAUGGGGGGACCAUCCUCCAAGGCUAAAUACUCCUGACUGACCGAUAGUGAACCAGUACCGUGAGGGAAAGGCGAAAAGAACCCCGGCGAGGGGAGUGAAAAAGAACCUGAAACCGUGUACGUACAAGCAGUGGGAGCCCCACCACUAAGCCAGUGGUGAACUCCACAUACGCAUCCUUUGCUGAGGAUACGGUUAACGGAGCGAAAGCGACGUUCAACCGCAAAAGAAGCAGAGGGGGCUUAGUGGUGGGGUGACUGCGUACCUUUUGUAUAAUGGGUCAGCGACUUAUAUUCUGUAGCAAGGUUAACCGAAUAGGGGAGCCGGAGGGAAACCGAGUCUUAAUUGGGCGUUAAGUUGCAGGGUAUAGACCCGAAACCCGGUGAUCUAGCCAUGGGCAGGUUGAAGGUUGGGUAACACUAACUGGAGGACCGAACCGACUAAUGUUGAAAAAUUAGCGGAUGACCUGUGGCUGGGGGUGAAAGGCCAAUCAAACCGGGAGAUAGCUGGUUCUCCCCGAAAGCUAUUUAGGUAGCGCCUCGUGAAUUCAUCUCCGGGGGUAGAGCACUGUUUCGGCUAGGGGGCCAUCCCGGCUUACCAACCCGAUGCAAACUGCGAAUACCGGAGAAUGUUAUCACGGGAGACACACGGCGGGUGCUAACGUCCGUCGUGAAGAGGGAAACAACCCAGACCGCCAGCUAAGGUCCCAAAGUCAUGGUUAAGUGGGAAACGAUGUGGGAAGGCCCAGACAGCCAGGAUGUUGGCUUAGAAGCAGCCAUCAUUUAAAGAAAGCGUAAUAGCUCACUGGUCGAGUCGGCCUGCGCGGAAGAUGUAACGGGGCUAAACCAUGCACCGAAGCUGCGGCAGCGACACUGUGUGUUGUUGGGUAGGGGAGCGUUCUGUAAGCCUGUGAAGGUGUGUCGUGAGGCAUGCUGGAGGUAUCAGAAGUGCGAAUGCUGACAUAAGUAACGAUAAAGCGGGUGAAAAGCCCGCUCGCCGGAAGACCAAGGGUUCCUGUCCAACGUUAAUCGGGGCAGGGUGAGUCGACCCCUAAGGCGAGGCCGAAAGGCGUAGUCGAUGGGAAACGGGUUAAUAUUCCCGUACUUGGUGUUACUGCGAAGGGGGGACGGAGAAGGCUAUGUUGGCCGGGCGACGGUUGUCCCGGUUUAAGCGUGUAGGUGUGUGUUCCAGGUAAAUCCGGUUCACUUUAACACUGAGGCGUGACGACGAGGCACUACGGUGCUGAAGCAACAAAUGCCCUGCUUCCAGGAAAAGCCUCUAAGCAUCAGGUAACAUCAAAUCGUACCCCAAACCGACACAGGUGGUCAGGUAGAGAAUACCAAGGCGCUUGAGAGAACUCGGGUGAAGGAACUAGGCAAAAUGGUGCCGUAACUUCGGGAGAAGGCACGCUGACACGUAGGUGAAGUGAUUUACUCAUGGAGCUGAAGUCAGUCGAAGAUACCAGCUGGCUGCAACUGUUUAUUAAAAACACAGCACUGUGCAAACACGAAAGUGGACGUAUACGGUGUGACGCCUGCCCGGUGCCGGAAGGUUAAUUGAUGGGGUCAGCGCAAGCGAAGCUCCUGAUCGAAGCCCCGGUAAACGGCGGCCGUAACUAUAACGGUCCUAAGGUAGCGAAAUUCCUUGUCGGGUAAGUUCCGACCUGCACGAAUGGCGUAAUGAUGGCCAGGCUGUCUCCACCCGAGACUCAGUGAAAUUGAACUCGCUGUGAAGAUGCAGUGUACCCGCGGCAAGACGGAAAGACCCCGUGAACCUUUACUAUAGCUUGACACUGAACAUUGAGCCUUGAUGUGUAGGAUAGGUGGGAGGCUUUGAAGUGUGGACGCCAGUCUGCAUGGAGCCGACCUUGAAAUACCACCCUUUAAUGUUUGAUGUUCUAACGUGGACCCGUUACCCGGGUUGCGGACAGUGUCUGGUGGGUAGUUUGACUGGGGCGGUCUCCUCCUAAAGAGUAACGGAGGAGCACGAAGGUUGGCUAAUCCUGGUCGGACAUCAGGAGGUUAGUGCAAUGGCAUAAGCCAGCUUGACUGCGAGCGUGACGGCGCGAGCAGGUGCGAAAGCAGGUCAUAGUGAUCCGGUGGUUCUGAAUGGAAGGGCCAUCGCUCAACGGAUAAAAGGUACUCCGGGGAUAACAGGCUGAUACCGCCCAAGAGUUCAUAUCGACGGCGGUGUUUGGCACCUCGAUGUCGGCUCAUCACAUCCUGGGGCUGAAGUAGGUCCCAAGGGUAUGGCUGUUCGCCAUUUAAAGUGGUACGCGAGCUGGGUUUAGAACGUCGUGAGACAGUUCGGUCCCUAUCUGCCGUGGGCGCUGGAGAACUGAGGGGGGCUGCUCCUAGUACGAGAGGACCGGAGUGGACGCAUCACUGGUGUUCGGGUUGUCAUGCCAAUGGCACUGCCCGGUAGCUAAAUGCGGAAGAGAUAAGUGCUGAAAGCAUCUAAGCACGAAACUUGCCCCGAGAUGAGUUCUCCCUGAGACUUAGAGUCUCCUGAAGGAACGUUGAAGACGACGACGUUGAUAGGCCGGGUGUGUAAGCGCAGCGAUGCGUUGAGCUAACCGGUACUAAUGAACCGUGAGGCUUAACCUUACAACGCCGAAG